rnacentral:lncRNA from 1 species
UUGCCAUGGGAACCUCGCCCCUUCUAGAGUCCUGGCCGCUUGACUCAGCUAAGCGCGAAGGUGUUGUUUCUUCCUGAGGUGCGCUGGGGCUGGGACCCGGUCUGCAGAAGGUCCAGGGGAUGGCGUCGGGGGAUUGAGGAGAGGAGACCAAGCCGGCCUUGCCUCCGGGACCAGCGCUUCCAAAUUCUCUGGGGCGUCCCGGCGCGCACACGCUCCUGAGGCCUCGGCGUUCUGAGGAAAGGGGCUGGCGUGGCGACCCGGGUCCUCGAGGCCGAGAUCUGGCUGUGGCCCGCGAAGCCCCGCUUGCCCGCGCCAGCGUCUUGUCACCCCGAGCCGAGGGCCUGCGCGCGGCCGACAGAUAUGGGAUGCUGGAGGACAUCUGGGGGCCACAAAUGCUCCUUCUCCUGGAGACGCAACUCAAGUUCUCAUGGAGUUUUCAUUGUCUCGUGCAAUGCCAUCGACCUUGAAUUUCAGCAUAGGACCCAUAUGAAGUGCCACUGUUAAUGCUGGGAGCACUCCAGGAAGCAGAGAAAAGUUAUGACAUUUCAAGAAAAAUCUGAAUUGCUUGAUAUGUUCCACAGAUUGAGUCUCUAGAUCAAGGGGUUCGUAAGGACCUUAAAGGCUCAUUACACAUAUACAUGGUACUCUAUGGAAAGGACUGUCAACUCUAUGGAAGCGAACCCUGAUAGAACAUCGUGAAAGUCUGGAAGGAUUAUACCACUGAAGAUGCCAUCAUUGUUAUGGAAAAAGCCAUGAAAACCAUCAAGCCUGAAACAAUAAAUUCCUCCUGGAGAAUACUGUGUCCAGAUGUUAUGCAUGAUUUCACAGGAUUGAUGAUAAAGCCAAGCAAGGAAAUCAUGAAAAAGAUUGUGGAUAUGGCAAAAAAGAUGGGGUGAAGGGUUUGAUAUGGAUCUCAGAAAAAUUGAAGAGCUUAAUAGACACCACCCAAGACGAAUUAACAGAAGAUGACUCGAUAGAGAUGAGUGCUUCUGAACCUGUGCCAGAUGAAGAAGAAGAUGUAGAAGCAGCAGUGGCAGAAAAUAAUUAACAUUAGUCUAGAAGAAGGGUUCUGAUUAUUCAGGACCACUUUUGACAUUUUUUAUGACAUGGACCCUUCUGUGAUGCAGGCACUGAAACUCAAUCAAACAGUGGAAGAAGGAUUAAUACCAUAUAGCAGGGGUCCCCAACCCCCAGGCCACCGGAACCAGGCCAUAUAGCAGGAGGUGAGCAACGGGUGAGCAAGCGAACACAAGCUUCAUCUGCAUCUACAUCUGCUCCCCAUCACUUGCAUUCCCACAUAAGCACCACCUCUUGUCAGAUCACAGGAGAGCGAACCCCAUUGUGAACUGUGCGUGUGAGGGAUCUAGGUUGCCAGCUCCUUAUGAGAAUCUAAUGCCUGGUGAUCUGUCACUGUCUUCUGUCACCCCAGAAAGGACCAUCUAGUUGCAAGAAAACAAGCUCAGGGCUCCUACUGAUUCCACAUUAUGGUGAGCUGUCUAAUUAUUUCAUUAUAUAUUACAAUGUAAUAAUAAUAGAAAUAAAGCACACAAUAAAUACAAAGUGCUUGAAUCAUCCCGAAACUACCCCCUUAACCCCAUCUAUGGGAAAAAAGUCUUCCA